rnacentral:rRNA from 1 species
UACGUAGGGGGCCAGCGUUGUUCGGAAUUACUGGGUGUAAAGGGUUCGUAGGCGGUGUGGCAAGUUGGGAGUGAAAUCUCUGGGCUCAACCCAGAGACGGCUUCCAAAACUGCCGUGCUUGAGUGUGGGAGAGGCUCGUGGAAUUGCAGGUGUAGCGGUGAAAUGCGUAGAUAUCUGCAGGAACACCCGUGGCGAAAGCGGCGCGCUGGACCACUACUGACGCUGAGGAACGAAAGCUAGGGGAGCAAACAGG